rnacentral:rRNA from 1 species
AGUGAACGCUGGCGGUAGGCCUAACACAUGCAAGUCGAACGGCAGCACAGUAAGAGCUUGCUCUUACGGGUGGCGAGUGGCGGACGGGUGAGGAAUACAUCGGAAUCUACUUUUUCGUGGGGGAUAACGUAGGGAAACUUACGCUAAUACCGCAUACGACCUACGGGUGAAAGCAGGGGAUCUUCGGACCUUGCGCGAUUGAAUGAGCCGAUGUCGGAUUAGCUAGUUGGCGGGGUAAAGGCCCACCAAGGCGACGAUCCGUAGCUGGUCUGAGAGGAUGAGAGGCGACACUGGAGAAGAGACACGGUCGCGACACAGACGGGAGGAGGCAGUGGGCAAGAUUGGACAAUGGGCGGAAGUGUGAUCCAGCGAUACAGCGUGGGUGAAGACGGCCUUAGGGUCGUAGAGCCCUUUUGUGGGGAAAGAAAAGCAGCAGGUGAAUACCCCGCUGUUCUGACGGUACCAAAAGAAUAAGCAACGGCUAGCUUCGUG